CAAAUGAAUAACACAACAAUUUAAACGUUUCUAAUAAGGUUGCUGGCUGCUGCACCCGACUAGAAGAAUGCUCGCCGCCCACCUUAACUUUAUUUCCUUUUUCUCCUAUUUAAUACAACACAUCCCUGUGUAAUGUUCUCGGCUAUCUAAUCGCCAAACGUUACGAAUGCUACUAAGUAAGCCUGCUGCCCGCCAGAAAAAACCCCUGUGGGGAAACCUGGACCCUCCCGAAUGCAGAUUCAGGCUCUAAAUAACAAUCUUGAGGGUGUAAGAUUGACCGACGUACAAGCAUUAGCUAACAACAUUAAACUCUAAAUAAUCUGUUUACGACCUAUGUAAACAUUCCCAAGAACCUAAACCUUUGGUAAAUUUUGCUGGUGAAAUGCUGCUAGUAAAACAUUUUGUGUGUGUUGAUGCAGUGCCAGACUAGAAUGAGCUUCCCAAAUCAUGUGACCACUUUGGCGCCCUGCCAAUGAACAUGGCAGUCACGUGUUUGAUGAACCGUGGAAACAUCAAUUUUCUGCUAAUCUGCGAACCGCAGAAAAUAACAUUUU